GAGUAACGCGUGAGUAACCUGCCUUUCAGAGGGGGAUAACGUUCUGAAAAGAACGCUAAUACCGCAUAAGAUUGUAGCUUCGCAUGGAGCAGCAAUCAAAGGAGCAAUCCGCUGAAAGAUGGACUCGCGUCCGAUUAGAUAGUUGGCGGGGUAACGGCCCACCAAGUCGACGAUCGGUAGCCGGACUGAGAGGUUGAUCGGCCACAUUGGGACUGAGACACGGCCCAGACUCCUACGGGAGGCAGCAGUGAGGGAUAUUGGGCAAUGGGGGAAACCCUGACCCAGCAACGCCGCGUGAGGGAUGACGGUUUUCGGAUUGUAAACCUCUGUCCUCUGUGAAGAUAGUGACGGUAGCAGAGGAGGAAGCUCCGGCUAACUACGUGCCAGCAGCCGCGGUAAUACGUAGGGAGCAAGCGUUGUCCGGAUUUACUGGGUGUAAAGGGUGCGUAGGCGGAUUGGCAAGUCAGAAGUGAAAUCCAUGGGCUUAACCCAUGAACUGCUUUUGAAACUGUUAGUCUUGAGUGAAGUAGAGGUAGGCGGAAUUCCCGGUGUAGCGGUGAAAUGCGUAGAGAUCGGGAGGAACACCAGUGGCGAAGGCGGCCUACUGGGCUUUAACUGACGCUGAGGCACGAAAGUGUGGGUAGCAAACAGGAUUAGAUACCCUGGUAGUCCACACUGUAAACGAUGAUUACUAGGUGUGGGGGGUCUAACCCCCUCCGUGCCGGAG
rnacentral:rRNA from 1 species